rnacentral:rRNA from 1 species
UGCUAAAAAGCUAGCCUAACUAACAUCUUAACCAAACUACAUAACUAAUUAAAACACACCUUAACCUAUUUUACUAAACCAUUCUUCCCCUCAAGUAUAGGCGAUAGAAACA